UGGACAUCUGGCACCUGAUGCGACGCUUCGCAUCAGGAAAUAUGGAGUACGCAGAGGACCCACCUCAGCUGCAUCCAGGACCCGCCAGGUGUGCAGCUGUACACCCAGACGGGCCGGCUGACCAAGGGAGGAGUCAGCCUGCCCGUAUAUCGCUGCGCGAGGGGCUCCACCUCUCUGGAGUCCUUCCACCUCCACCUUAACCGGUUCAUCCCAGGGACCCGGGCCAGCGCCAAGCACUUCCAGGCGUUCCUGGUGGAUGGACUGGUGAGGUGGAACGAGGACCGCGCAGCGGCAGCUGCACCACCACCGGCUGCAGACGAGGGACGGCUGGGACCUCUGCACUCCUACAGUGGCCACCUCAAGCACGUCCUUAACCAGAAGAGCCAAAGAGUGCUUGGUCUUCAGAUGGUUAAGGACUUCACCGAGCCGGCUGAGUACACAGGGGAGCUCAUCGGAGUGGAGUACCUGUACCAGCAGACCGGCAAAGUGCUUGAGGACGUCAGCCUGGACCCUGACACUCCGGACGAGGCUCCUGCCAUCGAGGCGCUGGAGGAGGAUGAGGGCAUCGAGGAAGACGUAGAGGACCCUACCGUCUUCGGGCCUGAUACUCCGUCCUCCAGCGUGGCAGCAGCCCGGUCAGGUGAUCCAGCUGACGCACCGUUUGAGCCAUCCCGUUCGGGUCAAGUUGCCCCUCCUGAGGCCCCAGAGGUUCAGGACCCUGAUCCCCAGCAGCCCUCCUCAGACUCUGAAGAGGACAUCCAGGGUCCUGAUGGCCAGCCCGGGUACCGGCACAUCCUGAAGCUGGCCCAGGCGCUGGUGGAAGGGAGGAACCUUCUGGGGCUGUCUGAGAAUAGGGUAGACCGACUCAUCCUGCUUUGGACUCGCUUGGCGGAGCAGGACAAGCGGCGAGUCGACUACCCUCCCAGAUACCGGGAGAGGCAACCAAAGGGGCGGUUCAAGGCAGCGAAGGGGAAGAACACCUCCUGUGCUGGAAAGGAGAGUCUCCAACGCUGCCUCCUCGGGGUCAACUCGGGGCCUUCCACCUGGCCCAGCGCCAGUCGCCUGGUGGAGGCCAUUUGCACGCUGCUCUGCAAGCUCCACCCGGCGGCCACGCGGGUCGGCGGGAUGCACAAGCCCCGGCUCAGCCUCAUCCUCGCUGACUAUGUGUCCAUCAGAGAGGUAGUGCUGAGCACCCCGAGGCUGAUGGCUCAGACGGACAUCCAGCUCUUUGAGCUGAACCACCGGACCCUCAGCCAGUGGUUCUCUCGCAAGCAGAGGGGGUUGGUCACGGCUGUGCUGCAGCAGGGAGCUUCCGUCAUCCCUGCAGGUGUCGCAGCCGAGCCCCUCCCUCCCGUCAAAGGGCUGUCCUUUGUUCAGGUGGGACAAGGACAGCCCUACCAGUAUGACGUGCCGGAUGAGAAGCCAGGACCCUCAUCCGGCGGCCUUCCUCCUCCUCCUCCUCCACCACCAGAUGGGGAGCAGCCUGGACCUUCGUCCAGCGGCCUUCCUCCACUGCCCCUGGGUGUCUUCCCUGGUCCUGCCGGUCUGCCUCCUCAAAGUCCCGGACAAAGCAGGACCACUGUCUGGAGGAAGAGGAAGGCGGCCGAGGCAGCGGCUGCUGCUGCUGCUGCAGGUCAGGUGUUGCCACCCAAGAAUCCCCGACAGCAGUACACCUGCUCCAAGUGUGGUCAGCCCAAAACAUUAGAAACUGGCCACACUCGGCUUUACGGUGUAACGUACUGUGCUGCUGUCGGGGGCAAGACUGUGGAGCAGUGGAGGGAGGAGGUCCAAAGCACUCA
ensembl:lncRNA